rnacentral:rRNA from 1 species
UUUAUGGAGAGUUUGAUCCUGGCUCAGGAUGAACGCUGGCGGCGUGCCUAAUACAUGCAAGUCGAGCGAACGGACGAGAAACUUGCUUCUCUGAUGUUAGCGGCGGACGGGUGAGUAACACGUGGAUAACCUACCUAUAAGACUGGGAUAACUUCGGGAAACCGGAGCUAAUACCGGAUAAUAUUUUGAACCGCAUGGUUCAAAAGUGAAAGACGGUCUUGCUGUCACUUAUAGAUGGAUCCGCGCUGCAUUAGCUAGUUGGUAAGG